rnacentral:ncRNA from 1 species
UACCUGGUUGAUCCUGCCAGUAGUCAUAUGCUUGUCUCAAAGAUUAAGCCAUGCAAGUCUAAGUACGAGCUCUCGUACAGUGAAACUGCGAAUGGCUCAUUAAAUCAGUUAUGGUUCAUUUGAUCGUACAGUUUACUUGGAUAACUGUGGUAAUUCUAGAGCUAAUACAUGCGAGAAGCGCCGACCUCGCGGGAGGCGUGCAUUUAUCAGACCAAAAACCGGCCGCG